ensembl:lncRNA
GAUGCUGGUGAUGCUCCUCAUGUUCUGCUGGUCUUCCUUGAUAUGAUCAGGGUUCAGGAAGCCUUCAUGCUAAAUUGUCCCAUCCUACCUGAGAAGCACCAGAGCACCCAGGAGAUUCCCUUCUCUAAACAGAAGAACUUCCCAGACCAGAAGAACUUCCCAGACCAGAAGAACUACCCAAGAGACAGGAAGGACGACUCCACAGGCAGAAAGAACUACCCUCAAAACAGGAAGAACUCCACACAGGACAGGACGGAUGACUUCACAGACAGGAAGAACUAUCCACAAGCCAGGAAGUACUCCCCAGAUAGGAAGAAUGACCCCACUAUCCCCAGACCCCCACAAUGUUUAUAUAAAAAGUCUAAAGCUCAGACUUGGACCAAGGAUUGCAGUGGGAUGAUUAGUAUUGAGAGAGGCAUUGUGGGAAUGUGGAGGACUCCAUCCUGCCCUCAAGCAGGUGGAGUCAGGCCUGGAUACCUGUGUGAUGAUCACCUGGACAGGAAGAGAGCGGUCUUUCACAGGGAGAUUAUGACCCCAGACGACAUGCGCUUCUGAGUUCUCACAUGGGGAAACCACAGUGACAACCAAACAAGGACUCUCAACUCUAUGUUGAUUUAAAGAUGACUUAAAUAUUUCUGGCGAGCCCAAAUCAAAUUAUGAAAAUGCAGAUUCACUGAGAGCUGCUGUAUCUACCCAAAAUUGUUUGUGAAAGUGGUCAAUCAAUAUAGAAAUGUAUGAUAGAAUGUUGUCAAUAGCAAUCUUUUACUGGAAGAAACGGAUUUAAUGAAAAUAUAGUUAGAGCCAAAAUGGUUUAUGGUGAUAGCUAGAGACAAAACUGUUCUUUAUUAAAACAAUCUUUAUUAAGUUACUCUUUAUUGAGUAGCUUACUGAGAGAUGAUUACCUCCAAGAGACCUCUGUGAUUUCCUAUUAGUCAUCAGUUCUGUACCAUAGAUGUCAUAGAUGGUAAGGACCAAAAUGUUAGCUAAUAAAAUGCACCUCUACAAGCCU